UGGUGGGUAGUUUGACUGGGGCGGUCUCCUCCCAAAGAGUAACGGAGGAGCACGAAGGUUAGCUAAUCCUGGUCGGACAUCAGGAGGUUAGUGCAAUGGCAUAAGCUAGCUUGACUGCGAGAGUGACGGCUCGAGCAGGUGCGAAAGCAGGUCAUAGUGAUCCGGUGGUUCUGAAUGGAAGGGCCAUCGCUCAACGGAUAAAAGGUACUCCGGGGAUAACAGGCUGAUACCGCCCAAGAGUUCAUAUCGACGGCGGUGUUUGGCACCUCGAUGUCGGCUCAUCACAUCCUGGGGCUGAAGUAGGUCCCAAGGGUAUGGCUGUUCGCCAUUUAAAGUGGUACGCGAGCUGGGUUUAGAACGUCGUGAGACAGUUCGGUCCCUAUCUGCCGU
rnacentral:rRNA from 1 species